rnacentral:rRNA from 1 species
UUCCGGUUGAUCCUGCCGGACCUGACUGCUAUCGGAUUGAUACUAAGCCAUGCGAGUCUUUGUAGUAAUACAAGGCAUACGGCUCAGUAACGCGUAGUCAACCUACCCUAUGGACAAGAAUAAUCUCGGGAAACUGAGCAUAAUUCUUGAUAGACCAUAAUGCCUGGAAUGGUUUAUGGUUAAAAUGAUUCGUCGCCAUAGGAUGGGACUGCGGCCUAUCAGCUUGUUGGUGAGGUAAUGGCCCACCAAGGCGAUUACAGGUACGGGCUCUGAGAGGAGAAGCCCGGAGAUGGGUACUGAGACAAGGACCCAGGCCCUAUGGGGCGCAGCAGGCGAGAAAACUUUGCAAUGUGCGAAAGCACGACAAGGUUAGUCCGAGUGAUUUCUGCUAAAGAGAUCUUUUGCUAGUUAUAAAACCACUAGUGAAUAAGGGGUGGGCAAGUUCUGGUGUCAGCCGCCGCGGUAAAACCAGCACCUCAAGUGGUCAGGAUGAUUAUUGGGCCUAAAGCAUCCGUAGCCGGCUCUGUAAGUUUUCGGUUAAAUCUAUGCGCUCAACGUAUGGGCUGCCGAAAAUACUGUAGAGAUAGGGAGUGGGAGAGGUAGACGGUACUCGGUAGGAGGGGGUAAAAUCCUUUGAUCUAUCGAUGACCACCUGUGGCGAAGGCGGUCUACCAGAACACGUUCGACGGUGAGGGAUGAAAGCUGGGGGAGCAAACCGGAUUAGAUACC